rnacentral:rRNA from 1 species
UAGGGAAUCUUCGGCAAUGGGGGCAACCCUGACCGAGCAACGCCGCGUGAGUGAAGAAGGUUUUCGGAUCGUAAAGCUCUGUUGUAAGAGAAGAACGUGUGUGAGAGUGGAAAGUUCACACAGUGACGGUAACUUACCAGAAAGGGACGGCUAACUACGUGCCGGCAGCCGCGGUAAUACGUAGGUCCCGAGCGUUGUCCGGAUUUAUUGGGCGUAAAGCGAGCGCAGGCGGUUUAAUAAGUCUGAAGUUAAAGGCAGUGGCUUAACCAUUGUUCGCUUUGGAAACUGUUAAACUUGAGUGCAGAAGGGGAGAGUGGAAUUCCAUGUGUAGCGGUGAAAUGCGUAGAUAUAUGGAGGAACACCGGUGGCGAAAGCGGCUCUCUGGUCUGUAACUGACGCUGAGGCUCGAAAGCGUGGGGAGCAAACAGG